GAUCAGCCACAACACCAAUUAGUUUCAAUUCUCUGGGUACAGUCUCUCUUGCUAUCUUUCUAUCUAUGCCCUCCAUUGAUCAAUGAAGUUUAGGUGAUUAAAGGUUGUUGAUCAACGUGAUGAACCUAAGUGAUAAAGUAUCGAUAUGUAAAUAUAAGAGCAGGAAAACAACAACCCCCGAAAUGAUUUCAAUAGAAAUUCAAUCAAAAACUUGUGUUGAUUGCGGUACCACCAGAACCCCUCUUUGGCGUAUUGGCCCUGCUGGCCCUAAGUCAUUGUGUAAUGCUUGUGGGAUCAGGAGUAGAAAGAAAAGAAGAGCACUUCUUGAAUUGAACAAAUAAAAUAAAAAGAUAAAGAAAUCAUCAGCAUCUGAAAAUAAGAACAAUCAAAACCCAAGCAACAACAAUUGUACGAGUAACAGUGGAGAUAGUACCAACAACACUAAUGUUAAAAAGAAGUUAUCGCUGCAGCGAUCAAGAUCAAAUUCUACUCACUGGAAGAAGCUUGGUGAAGUAGAGAAAGCUGCUUUUUUGUUGAUGUCUCUCUCAUGUGGCUCAGUUUUUGUAUAAAAAAAAUCACUUUUUGUACCUUUUUGGGCGUGAGUGAUGAGCUGGCAGGUGUAUAAGUAGAAUGAUAAAAAAAAAAAAAUAAUAGUUGAGAGCUCUCCUUUUGAGUGUAGUAGAGUUGAAAAUGGUUGGUAUUAUCCUUUUAUAUAAAAUUAAAUUAAUUUCAUUCAAGGUCAUUAAUGAGAUUACUUGAUGUGCUUUAUUCAUUUGAUGGAAAAAUAUAGUUUUU